CAGUGGGAUAGGGUAGCUCCCGAAAAGCGUAAACCGUAAUACGCCUGUCCACUGUUUUAUAAUUACGG
rnacentral:ncRNA from 1 species